AGUUUUGCACAGUGGCAGUAUCAUAGCCAAUGAGGUUUAUCCAAGGUGCGGUUAUUGCUGACGGAAAAUUUUUCCCAAUACCUCACCAUGACAACUUGAAAUAUAGUUGGCAUUGGUGAAAUAAAUAAAUUGCAGAGUAG
ensembl:snRNA U4 U4 spliceosomal RNA